GCUAUCUUGGGAUUUGGAAUCUAUUAACAAUCAAGUCAUUACUGGAAUCCUCGUCAAAAAGAUCUGAGAAUAGUAGGAGGUAGGGAGAAGCCAUGCUGCAAUUAAAGCAUGGAAAGUUGAAGAUCCCCUGUACAAGAUAAGGCUAUCUAGAUCAAUGUUGCAAAGAAAUUUAGGAAAGAAAGUUAUAUUUUGAACAAUUUUUUAUACAAGAAAAAGGAAAAGAAGAAAAGAACAUAGGACAAAAUUGCACAGAUUGUUCCAUUCCACUUUUUCUUUAUCACUUAGUUUUCCAUAUCCUUUGAAACAAAAAGGGCUGAUAAAACCUGUUAUAUCAU
rnacentral:lncRNA from 1 species